rnacentral:rRNA from 1 species
CACCAGACUCCUACGGGAGGCAGCAGUGGGGAAUAUUGCACAAUGGGGGAAACCCUGAUGCAGCAACGCCGCGUGAGUGAAGAAGUAUUUCGGUAUGUAAAGCCCUGUCAGCAGGGAAGAAAAUGACGGUACCUGAAGAAGAAGCCCCGGCUAACUACGUGCCAGCAGCCGCGGUAAUACGUAGGGGGCAAGCGUUAUCCGGAUUUACUGGGUGUAAAGGGGGCGCAGACGGCGAUGCAAGCCAGGAGUGAAAGCCCGGGGCCCAACCCCGGGACUGCUCUUGGAACUGCGUGGCUGGAGUGCAGGAGGGGCAGGCGGAAUUCCUGGUGUAGCGGUGAAAUGCGUAGAUAUCAGGAGGAACACCGGUGGCGAAGGCGGCCUGCUGGACUGCAACUGACGUUGAGGCCCGAAAGCGUGGGGAGCAAACAGGAUUAGAUACCCUAGUA